UUCACAUAGCUCGGUGGUUAGAGCUUAGGGCUUGUGACCGGAAGGUCUGGGGUUCGAAUCUCGCAGAAG
rnacentral:tRNA from 1 species